AUCCUGUAUGUGUCCAUGCUUCCUUGGUUUUCUUCUUCGAGCAAAGUCACUUAUAUCUUUCUUUUACUUACAAUAGCAGGCUGUGCCUUUUUGAAGUAUGAAACUAAAGAUCAAGCUCUCGCGGCACUCGAGGCCUUAAAUGGGAAAUACAGAAUGGAGGGUUCAAGCGUGCCUUUGGUUGUUAAAUGGGCUGAUACAGAGAAGGAAAGGCAAGCUCGGAGGGCACAAAAAGCUCAAUCUCAGGCCUCAAAUCAUCCAAAUACCAAUUCAAUACAGCACCCUUCAUUAUAUGGAGCUUUACCAAUGGGAUACAUUCCUCCAUAUAAUGGAUUUGGCUAUCAGCCAACUGGAACUUAUGGAUUCAUGCAAUACCCUUUAGCGUCAAUGCAAAAUCAAGCUGCCUUCAAUAACAUGGUUCCUCCUGCUAAUCAAGGAAAUACGGUACGUGGAAUCAGUCCAGAUCUUUCCCCAGGCACGGUGCCCAGGAAUUUUGCCACAAUGCAAUCUGCCGGCUAUAUGGGGUCGGCAUAUCCUGCCAUGCCAGGUGUUCAAUACCCUCUACCCUAUCCAAGUGGUAUGAUGAGCCACAGGCCUUUUGGCAAUUCCCAUGCCCCAGUCCAACAGGUAAACAUGAAUAGUAAUCCAGCAUCAUCUUCAAGUGCCAGUACAAGUUCGGGGGGUCAGGUAGAAGGUCCUCCCGGAGCUAAUUUAUUUAUAUAUCAUAUCCCCCAAGAAUUUGGCGACCAGGAGCUUUCAAAUGCCUUUCAGGGAUUUGGAAGGGUUUUGAGUGCUAAAGUUUUUGUUGACAAGGAAACUGGUGUUAGUAAAUGCUUCGGUUUUGUAAGUUAUGACUCACCUGUAGCUGCUCAGGCUGCCAUCAAUGCAAUGAAUGGUUCUCAGUUAGGUGGUAAAAAGCUUAAAGUACAACUUAAGAGAGACAAUAAGCAGCGCAAACCUUACUGAUGCUGGAAGCUACCUGCGAGGAAACAAAAUUUCCUACAUUAUCUGGCUGCUUGCAGUUUCAGAGUUUUAUGACUGCAAAUCAGGAAUUCAGUACAAGAUGGAUGGAAGAAAAUUGGUCAUUUUACUCUUUGCUCCAUCCCAUCUUGUCUGAAGAAAUCUCUAAGAUGCCUUCUUUUUAGUGGUUAUUCAGCACAGGGUUCAGCUGUUUAGAGUCAAAGGUGCCUUCUAAUUUCCAAUGAUCUCACACAUCACUACAUAUGGAGGUCUUCCAGGUAAUCUGCACAAAUUUUUGGUGAUUGGUUUAUCAUGAUAAAUAUGUCUUUGUGCCUAAAGAUUUCAUGACUAUUUGGACAUUCUUCUGUCACUAAAGCAUUGUCAUCUGCAGCAUUCUGAGCCACAAUUUAGAAUGACCAAUGAAUAGUAAAUUGUACAUGUCAUGCAUGUGGAGACUAAUGCUCAAAGAUUAUGUUAUAAAAAAUCAUUAGGCUACAAAAGUUGAACGAUUGAAGAUUACAUUUAGAUAGUUUGUGAUUAUUCUAAAGUAAUAAUAAUGCCAAGAGCAAGUAUGUUAUAUAUAGCAAAGUUGAUAUAAUACGUAAAUAUAUACCAACAUAUGCAUAUUUUUAUACAUGGUAUCCCAUACCAUACCGAACCGGAUGGUAUGGAGCAUACCAUACCAUGCUGGUUUGGUGCUCGAUAUGCCGAACCAGCCCCAUACCGGGUGUACCGACAUAGUGAUAGGAUCGCACUAGUAUGGGGCCAGUACCGAGAUGGCAUACCUUGUUUUUAUAUAUAUGCAAUAAUGGUGUAUGUGAUUUACAUAUAAGUAAUUGAAAUGUUUGGAUUGGUUGGAAUCUUUGGUCCCAUUAAAGUUCAGGUUAUGCUAACUGGCUUAUUGCUCACAAAUUGCUCGUACUGAAAGUGAUCAUGUUCUGAAACUCUGGUCCAAUCAGAUCUUGGUCUGUGUUUUAGUUGUUAUUCAGUUUCAUCAGAAAAUAUAUGUAUAUUUUCUUUUAUAAAAAAAAACUUCAGAGAUUAGUUUAUAAAUUAAGUAUUCAGAAGGCACUUAAAGUUACAAAGUAAUAUAUAUUAAAGAAUCGCCUAUAGGGGUGUCAGUGCCCCAGUUGGCAUGGUUUAGGCUGAGAUUUGCUGAAGACCAGAUUGAGUUCUUACCAAGCGGGUUGAAAGUUGAAACAGCUUGGAUUGGGACCAGACUGAAACUGAUCCAAACUUACCCUGUUAAGCCCUAGUUAAAUUUCCUUAAAAUCCCAAGCUGUAGACUAGGGUAAAAUCAUUGAUCAGCAACCUUUGAAGUCCAAGCCCGUCCCUAGGGACAGAUUUUGGAGCCCAACCUAGGUUUUUUCAGCUAUAGCUUCAGUGGGUCACUCCAAGAAGGAUUUCUCUUUUGCACCAAUUUUUUUGGCAGCUUUGUCGAAAGAUCAAUGUUUUUGGUAAUUCUCAAUGGCUAUUAUUGGGAAAGUUAAUUGGUCUCUAUUCAUAACUUACAAUUUUAUUCUAAGUAAAUAUGGGGAUUGUGACUUCAUUGGCAAAUUUUGAUGCAACACUAGAUGACUUAGUUUGAACUUUGAACCUUCCCCUUUAUAUUUGGUGAAUAACACCUUAAAAUCAAAUUUUCUACACUUCUCCCCCGCCUCCCCCCAACCCCCUGUGCCAUAAAAAAGAGAGAAAAAUAUUCAUUGAGCCUAUGAACACUUGAAAGACGUUCGGCCUUUGAGAUUUUAUUGCGAUCAUCAAGCUAUGGGUCACCUCCACACUAGAAGUCUGAACUCAGACAUUUUAAAGCUGAACUAAUAUUGUUUCUUCUAUUAAAUUGAUGUCCAAUUGUUAUGUCAAAGGACACUUGAUAUGUUUGCCUUGAUCCAUUCAUCUUCUAAUUUUGCUUAUAUCAAGUUUUGGUGCUUCUUUUAUGUAUUAUUAUUUUUGCCAAGACCUUAUCCACGUUUGAAUUAGAUUUUUUUGGGGUACUAUUCACUUUCUUUUACCUUAUUCUAGGUUUUUGAGUAUACAUUAGAAAAUCUUUUUCUUGGUUAUUUCCUGUUGUAUUUUUGAGAUUUUGUUUGCUAGUGUGAAUUUCCUUAAAUUUGGUCCUUGAAGGUUGUUUCUGGGACAUUUUUUAACAUUGUUCUUCUGCUUCACCUUUUUUGAGUAUUUUGGGAUCUGGAGUUUAUCUUUUGCUCUUUCAUGGGGCACUUAAUAUACAUGUUCACUCUUUUGUUCUAUCUACUCUUUUACAGUCCAUUUUAGCCAAAUGUUCGUUGGUUACUCCUUAUCCCCCUUUUGUGCGUUAAUUUGAUCUCAUAGUGGCUGACCGCCAUGAUGUGGCUUCAUAGAUGAUGCAAGCAGUUGGCUUUAGUGGUUUGUUAACUUUUAGUCUUACUCCCGUACUUGGAGGAUGAUAGGAGGACCAUCUUGAUGUUUUAAUCUGAAACACAUUUUUAUGAUAUUGGAUGCGGCUUAGGAAAUAUGGAUGGGGAUAAUGGAGAUGUUAAGGAUGCAGUGAAAAUUGUUAUUAAUGCGAUCUUGUUAUUGGAAAUUUAAAAUUGUUCAUUAUGUUCUUUGCAAUUCAAAUUAGGAAUAUAUAGUUUCAAAGCAUAGUGCCAAUUGGGGUAGAGAUAAAAUGAUGUGUAUAGAAUGAUGAUUGGGGUCAUGUUGAAUAUUGUGGAUAUAGAUCCAGGACAGCUAUCAUUCCAACAUAUGGUGAGGUGGCAAUCUUCCACGUGGUAAUUACACAACAGAAUGUAACCAGAUAAGUUUUACUUUUCCACAUGACAAUCUUCCAAGAAUCACCUUUCCUAAAAUCUCUCAGUACUUUUAGAAUCUUUCUUUGGAUAUUCCAUUGUUUCUACAGGAGGUUGUGAACUUCAUUUCUGGUAGCUUGAGAUAACUGGCCUUCCCCCUUGCAACCAGCUGGGUGAUCCAACCUUCUGUAGAAUCCCAAAUCCAUUUUUUAAACCCUAUCUAUACAUAUUUUACAAGAUCAUCAAAUUUUUGUCCUUUGAGAUUUGUUGAUUCACUUUAUCUGACUUUGGUCAUAAUUUUCUUAUGUGUUUUUUUUCCAUUAGUUUAUUCUCUUUCACUAUCAUAUCAUUAUUUAUGUUUGAUGAAAUUUGGGUCCUUAGGAUUCAAUUAGAUUUUUGGGUCUUCAUUUCUGCCUUCUUCGUGAGAAUCCUUUAAUUAUUGACUUCUGUUGUUCAUUAUUUUGGGAACUUUGGUCUAUUUCUUGCUCUUGCUUAAUCCUUUUAUGGCUUCGUUGCUCUCCGUUAUUUUUUGUCUAAAGAGCAAAUAUUUUACCUAUUGGUUUUCUGCUAUUUAAUAUCAUUUUCUUUCUGUUUAUAUGCUUGGUUUAUCAACUCCUUAAUUCAUCGAUUUAGUGCUUGGCUUAACCUUAUCACCGACAAUCCUCAGUGUAAUGCUUGCUCAUGACUGCCUGCUGACCGUGGACAUCUAGUUUAUUUGUGGACGUAAUCUGGUCAUAUGGUACUUAGUCCAUGUUUGGAAGCUCAUGGAAUCAAAGCACAAUAUACCAUAAUACAUUCAGAGGGUUACAUGGAAAUGUGGUUGCGUUUAAAAUUAAUUGGUCAUGGUGCCUUAAGUGAUGGGUGUUCAUCCUUUAUCCACUACACAAAAGAAAUAUUUGCAGACUUUCGAUGAAACUGACAUGAGGAAUUUUUAAAAUGCAGAUCUUAUUGGUAUACCAACAUAAUUUGAAGAAACUAUGUAAGCAUCUUCAUGGUUUGCUGUGCCGUCUAAUUUAGGUUAUUAAUUCAUCAAUGGCCAAUUAAGUGGGUGCAUACAGGUAUUGCAUGUGGAGGGGUUGUGCACGGGUUAAUUAUGAGGGUGCAUGCAUUUAAAAGGGGACAUAUAGAGGAACAUUCAGGAUGGGAGAACAAAUAAGAGGAAUUCUAGAAGGUGUUGAAGAUAAGAUGAAACCAUGUACAGAUAGUAUGAGGUGCAACACAUGUCAGGAGAGAAAAUUUGUUUAUUUUUUUUUUUAAACUUAAAAGCAACAUGUCUUUCAAGACUUGAGAAAAGCUAAAUGAGCCAGCAAAACCGAUAACCGGAAAACCUAAAUGAAGCCCAAUUGCUCUUUCAAAGAAGUAAUGAGUAUUGCAAUUUUCUUGGUUUGCUCAUGGACUCAGGCCUCUUGAGGACCAAUAAAGGACUAAAAGACUUCAAUAGAGUAGGUAAAGCUUGGCUUGUUGCCGGGAGGUCUUAGGAAGUUGCAUGAUUGAUGACCGGAUAAAACAGUUUAGGCAGUACAAUGAUUUUAAAGCUAGCAAUCUCCUUCCCAUAUACUCCAUUUAAGAAAUAAUUUUAAAAUUAGCAGCAUGCUGCAUCUAAAGAAUGGAUGUGGAUGAAGGCUCACACUUUUAGGUUAGGUAUUAAUUGAUGAUUGAACUUAGACUGCUUGACUGGCCAGACUGAAUUCUUAAUUGUAAAAGAUUCUUCAUGUCCAAGAUCUUGAAAACUAUAGACUCAAGUUCUCAAAUUUAAAGUUUUUAUCAGUUCCUUUUGAUUUGGCAAAGGUGAAAUCUGGAUUACGCCUGUCCUUUGGCAUUUUAAAGUCCUAAGACAUCUGUGCAUAUGAAACUCCGUAGAGAGCUAGCCAUAUGCUUUGAAGAAUGCCACAUCUUUGCAGAUUCCUAUGUAAAAUAUGUUUGAGUAUAGUUUCUUUACAUUAUUUCAUGCUAUGUGAAGUGGUGCACUUGAAAUAGAUGGACUAUAAAACACACAUAGACGUUAUAUCCAUUUUCCAAUUUAAACUUUGUGGUAUUUAGCACACAUCUCAUCAUUUUAAUCAUUUCCCUGGUCAUGCAUUCAACAUCUACCAGGCAUUGGAAGUGGCUGGAAGUUACGGGAUUGUAGGAGCCAAUCUUUAAUCACUUGGUUUUGCUAGAACUAGUUUAUGUUGCAAUGUUCUCUUGUAGUUAAGCAUCAUCUCUUGAGGCCGGUCGGAUGGCACACUGAGGAACCUGACUUUCCCCAAGAUACUGGUAAAUUCUGAAUAUGAUGAGUUUCACCAUGUUCUGCCCAGCAUUUUGCUCACAGAGGCGUCUAAAACCAAUCACCAAGGGAUUUUACUGGGUGCAAGAUUAUAGCAAAAAACUUACCAUCGGAUAAAGAGUAUGUUGUACCUUAUUGAUGGCUAGACAUCUUAUAUUCGUCAGGAAAUCUCAGGUAAGAAAAUGAAGGAUACGUUGAAGCAUAUGCCUGGAACGAAGAUUUCUUGUGAACAUUUUGGAAAACCUGAUGGCCAUUUUCUUUUCUUGUGUGCUUUUUUUUUUUGGCUUUUAAUUCCAAUGCAACCUAUGGUCAAGGGUGAUCUAAUGUAACAUUACGCAAUUGGGGCUAAGUUUCGAAGUUAUAACAGAACUUUGGAUACUUGUGUCCUCCGGAUUUUGUCCGGUGUUGCUCAUUUUUUCUUGGACGCAUUUCCUGCUCUAAGAAUGUUUGAAAGAAUUGUUUCAAUUUUGAAGGUUGGUUAAUAUCAAAGGAUAUUGGUAGGUUUUUUGAAGACUGUUGAUGAAGGCUAUGAGCUUUUCAUUUGUGAACUCAUGGUCCGAUUUAUAAACAAGUUAACCUUAAAAGCACGAUAGUUUGUUUAUGAAUGGUUUGAAUUGCCUUCCCUGCAAGCUCCGGGUCAAGCAAUGCUCUCCCAUGGGUAAACUCCAUGGACCUGAAAGGGCAUCCUGAGACGUGGGAGUUUUCUUGCAUAAAGUUUAAUGGUGGUGCUGUGGCAAAACAUAUUUUCCAGGACAAAGGCAGACAGCAGUCUGUAAUCGGAGUCUUCACACAACCUACUGCUCCUUUGUUGGAUAUGAUUAUUCAUAUCUUUCGGUAUGCGAGCGUGGAUCAAAAAAUAAUUAUAUCUACUACGGCAACAAUAUGCAUCAGAAAUCCAAUAGGAUGAUAGUUUGAAAAUCAUAAACAUCAUGAUUAAUUUGGAUCAUCUAUUCAUAAUUCAAAUUUGAGGUGCAUUAGAACAAGAUUGAAGUAUAUUUUUGUUCAUAAACUGCAUUUUUAUUUAACUCAAAAAUCCUGAAGCACCUUACUAGGACUAGAAUUCAUGGCAUGAUAAAUUAUGUUAGUGGUGCCCUAUUCUUCAUGGCACAUCACAUGUAAUGCACCAAUACCAGUAAUUGCAAAGUUUGUACGUUAGCUCUCACAUCACUAACUACCAAUACUUCUUGAAUAUUUUCAUGAGGAAAUUGGCAUCCACCAGUCUUAAAAAGUAGGAGGGAGGAUCUCAUGACCUUAAAGGGAAAGAAUCGCAAAAUACCUCCGCCAAAGAACGAUUAAAGGGGAACUAUGAGUUGCAGAACUUUAAAUAUGAACCAAGGAUUAAAUUGAACACAAGAUAUUUUCGAAAACAUGACCGAUAAUGUAAAUUAAAUCUCAUGUUUAGCAUAUUAGUGAUCUACUCAUUUUGCCAAUGAUAUAAGCUCGAUAUAGAGAAAGGGGAAAAAAUACAGUAGUUGAGCUUUUAUCUUUGUCCUUUAAACAAUAAUCAGAGGAAAAUGCUAUAAAGACAGAAAACGAAAAAAACUAGAAUAAUUUCAUUGAGAGGAAGAGCUUUGAACAUGGAGUAAUGACAGUUAACUAUGUAGUCAUCUCAUAACAGUAAUACAGAUGACUAAACCCCACAUUUUGCACAUCAAUUAUUCUCCCUCUUUUCCUCUUCUUGCUGCUGCUGCUGCUGCUUCUUUUCUUAAGUUUUUGGUGCUAGAUCUAACUUCUAAGCACAAUCUUUGGUACCAGAUCUGAACACACAAGCAGAACAACAACAAGAACAAGAAGAAGAUUCUAAAUGCCAAAGAGAGAUGAGUACAUGAUAAUUAGGAAA